UUGCAAGUGGUGUGGGUUAGCACGCUCGCCUCACACCUCCAGGGUCGGGGGUUCGAUUCCCACCGGGUACU